rnacentral:rRNA from 1 species
AGGGUUUGAUUCUGGCUCAGGAUGAACGCUAGCUACAGGCUUAACACAUGCAAGUCGAGGGGCAGCAUUUUAGUUUGCUUGCAAACUGAAGAUGGCGACCGGCGCACGGGUGAGUAACACGUAUCCAACCUGCCGAUAACUCCGGAAUAGCCUUUCGAAAGAAAGAUUAAUACCGGAUAGUAUACGAAUAUCGCAUGAUAUUUUUAUUAAAGAAUUUCGGUUAUCGAUGGGGAUGCGUUCCAUUAGUUUGUUGGCGGGGUAACGGCCCACCAAGACUACGAUGGAUAGGGGUUCUGAGAGGAAGGUCCCCCACAUUGGAACUGAGACACGGUCCAA